UACGUAGGGAGCAAGCGUUGUCCGGAAUCAUUGGGCGUAAAGCGCGCGUAGGUGGCUUCGUAAGUCCGUUGUGAAAGUCAAAGGCUCAACCUUUGAAAGCCGAUGGAUACUGUGAAGCUAGAGUACGGAAGAGGCGAGUGGAAUUCCUGGUGUAGCGGUGGAAUGCGCAGAUAUCAGGAGGAACACCAAUAGCGAAGGCAGCUCGCUGGGACGUUACUGACACUGAGGCGCGAAAGCUAGGGGAGCGAACAGG
rnacentral:rRNA from 1 species